AGUGGCAAACGGGUGAGUAACACGUGAGCAACCUGCCCUGGACUCUGGGAUAAGCGCUGGAAACGGCGUCUAAUACUGGAUAUGAGCCGCGACCGCAUGGUCAGUGGUUGGAAAGAUUUUUCGGUCUGGGAUGGGCUCGCGGCCUAUCAGCUUGUUGGUGAGGUAAUGGCUCACCAAGGCGUCGACGGGUAGCCGGCCUGAGAGGGUGACCGGCCACACUGGGACUGAGACACGGCCCAGACUCCUACGGGAGGCAGCAGUGGGGAAUAUUGCACAAUGGGCGGAAGCCUGAUGCAGCAACGCCGCGUGAGGGAUGACGGCCUUCGGGUUGUAAACCUCUUUUAGCAAGGAAGAAGCGAAAGUGACGGUACUUGCAGAAAAAGCGCCGGCUAACUACGUGCCAGCAGCGCAGGUAAUACGUAGGGCGCUAGCGUUAUCCGGAAUUAUUGGGCGUAAAGAGCUCGUACGCGGUUUGUCGCGUCUGCUGUGAAAACCCGAGCCUCAACCUCGGGCCUGCAGUCGAUACUGGCAGACUAGAGUGCGUAAGGGGAGAAUUGAAUUCCUGGUGUACCGGUGAAAUGCGCAGAUAUCAGGAGGAACACCGAUGGCGAAGGCAGAUCUCUGGACCGCAACUGACGCUGAGGAGCGAAAGGGUGGGGAGCAAACAGGCUUAGAUACCCUGGAAGUCCACGCCGUAAACGAUGAUAACUAGCUGUCCGGGUUCAUAGAACUUGGGUGGCGCAGCUAACGCAUUAAGUUAUCCGCCUGGGGAGUACGGUCGCAAGAUUAAAACUCAAAGGAAUUGACGGGGGUGAGUACAAGCGGUGGAGCAUGUGGUAUAAUUCGAAGCAACGCGCAGAACCUUACCAGCCUUUGACAUCCUAGGGGACGACUUCUGGAGACAGAUCUUCCCUUCGGGGACCUAGUGACAGGUGCUGCAUGGCUGUCGUCAGCUCGUGUCGUGAGAUGUUGGGUUAAGUCCCGCAACGAGCGCAACCCUCGUCCUUAGUUGCCAUCAUUUAGUUGGGCACUUUAAGGAAACUGCCGGUGAUAAGCCGGAGGAAGGUGGGGAUGACGUCAAGUCCUCAUGGCCCUUACAGGCUGGGCUACACACGUGCUACAAUGGCGUUGACAGUGGGCAGCUAGGCCGCGAGGCCACGCUAAUCUCUAAAAGACGGUCUCAGUUCGGAUUGUUCUCUGUAACUCGAGAGCAUGAAGGCGGAAUCGCUA
rnacentral:rRNA from 1 species